ACAUCCAGCGAACUUGGCAGAGAUGCCUUGGGUGCCUUCGGGAACGCUGAGACAGGUGCUGCAUGGCUGUCGUCAGCUCGUGUUGUGAAAUGUUGGGUUAAGUCCCGCAACGAGCGCAACCCUUUAUCCUUUGUUGCCAGCGAUUCGGUCGGGAAACUCAAAGGAGACUGCCGGUGAUAAACCGGAGGAAGGUGGGGAUGACGUCAAGUCAUCAUGGCCCUUACGAGUAGGGCUACACACGUGCUACAAUGGCGCAUACAAAGAGAAGCGACCUCGCGAGAGCAAGCGGACCUCAUAAAGUGCGUCGUAGUCCGGAUCGGAGUCUGCAACUCGACUCCGUGAAGUCGGAAUCGCUAGUAAUCGUGGAUCAGAAUGCCACGGUGAAUACGUUCCCGGGCCUUGUACACACCGCCCGUCACACCAUGGGAGUGGGUUGCAAAAGAAGUAGGUAGCUUAACCCUCGGGAGGGCGCUUACCACUUUGUGAUUCAUGACUGGGGUGAAGUCGUAACAAGGUAAGCGUAGCGAG
rnacentral:rRNA from 1 species